rnacentral:lncRNA from 1 species
AAAUCUUAAGUUUACAACUUGUAGUAAUCAUAUUAACAAUGAUAUAUCGAACCUAUCUCCAAAGUCAACAUUGGACCAAGAAACAAAUUCGACAUAACAUCACCAACACCAACACGGCGAGCAUGAGACUUUAUGUGGGUCCUUAUAUCCUACUCCUCUGCAUUCUCCAGGCAUACGGUACACUAUCAGUAAAAAGGAAUGAAUUUCGGUAUAAAUUCUCUCAUUUCCUUGGUUAUAAUUUAGGAUCUACAUCAUUGUGAAGUUAUUAUGAAGUUAAUUUAUAUAAAAAAAAUGUCUCUGCUGACAGGCAAAUAUAAGAUUCUAAGGAAGACUUAACUUGUGGUGUGAAGGCUUCUUCCGGUGCUGUCCUAGGUUAUCCACACCUCAUGAUCUUCUUCGGGAGGCGUCAGGUUUUGAUGUACUGGUCUGAUGUACUGGUAGAUCGGUUGUUGCCUCCGGAGUUGUCUAAAUGUUCGUCGAACCCAUGGGUCUUGAGAAGCUGCUAUUUACCAUUUACUUGAUUUACUUUCUGGGGGGCAUUAUAUCCUCUGGGCCAAAGCAGAUGGUGUAAAAGCUAGGGCCACGCCCUUCUCCUGGGUGCCAAUUAGGUCUGUAGCGCUCGCUGCUACCUACUUGGCGAAGAAUAUAAAAA